UUAAAGAUAGAUUAAAUUUAAAAUUAUUAGACUCAUAAUCUAAAGAUAGACUGUUGGCUUCUUUAAA
rnacentral:tRNA from 1 species